rnacentral:rRNA from 1 species
AGCAGCCGCGGUAAUUCCAGCUCCAAUAGCGUAUAUUAAAGUUGUUGCAGUUAAAAAGCUCGUAGUUGAAUUUCGGGGUCAGUGAGUUGGUCGUGCCACUGGUAUGCACUGGCUUUACUGAUUCCUCCUUCUUGAAGAACUGUAAUGCUAUUAAUUUAGUGUUGCAGGGAAACAGGACUGUUACUUUGAAAAAAUUAGAGUGUUUAAAGCAGGCUAACGCUUGAAUACAUUAGCAUGGAAUAAUGAAAUAGGACGUUUGAUCCUAUUUUGUUGGUUUCUAGGAUUGACGUAAUGAUUAAUAGGGAUAGUUGGGGGCAUUAGUAUUCAAUUGUCAGAGGUGAAAUUCUUGGAUUUAUUGAAGACUAACUACUGCGAAAGCAUUUGCCAAGGAUGUUUUCAUUAAUCAAGAACGAAAGUUAGGGGAUCGAAGACGAUCAGAUACCGUCGUAG